UCUUAGACAAUGGGGGAAACCCUGAUCUAGCCAUGCCGCGUGAGUGAUGAAGGCCUUAGGGUUGUAAAGCUCUUUCAGCUGGGAAGAUAAUGACGGUACCAGCAGAAGAAGCCCCGGCUAACACCGUGCCAGCAUCCGCGGUAAUACGGAGUGGGCUAGCGUUGUUCGGAAUAACUGGGCGUAAAGCGCACGUAGGCGGACCGGAAAGUUGGAGGUGAAAUCCCAGGGCUCAACCUUGGAACUGCCUUCAAAACUAUCGGUCUGGAGUUCGAGAGAGGUGAGUGGAAUUCCGAGUGUAGGGGUGAAAUUCGUAGAUAGUCGGAGGAACACCAGUGGCGAAGGCGGCUCACUGGCUCGAUACUGACGCUGAGGUGCGAAAGCGUGGGGAGCAAACAG
rnacentral:rRNA from 1 species